CCUACGGGCGGCAGCAGUGGGGAAUAUUGGACAAUGGGCGAAAGCCUGAUCCAGCCAUGCCGCGUGUGUGAAGAAGGCCUUCGGGUUGUAAAGCACUUUCAGUGGGGAAGAAAGCCUUGGGGCUAAUACCCUCGAGGAAGGACAUCACCCACAGAAGAAGCACCGGCUAACUCCGUGCCAGCAGCCGCGGUAAUACGGAGGGUGCGAGCGUUAAUCGGAAUUACUGGGCGUAAAGCGCGCGUAGGCGGUCUGAUAAGCCGGUUGUGAAAGCCCCGGGCUCAACCUGGGAACGGCAUCCGGAACUGUCAGGCUAGAGUGCAGUAGAGGAAGGUAGAAUUCCCGGUGUAGCGGUGAAAUGCGUAGAGAUCGGGAGGAAUACCAGUGGCGAAGGCGGCCUUCUGGACUGACACUGACGCUGAGGUGCGAAAGCGUGGGUAGCAAACAGGAUUAGAUACCCUAGUAGUC
rnacentral:rRNA from 1 species